GAUGAACGCUAGCGGGAGGCUUAACACAUGCAAGUCGAGGGGCAGCAUAGGGUAGCAAUACUCUGAUGGCGACCGGCAAACGGGUGAGUAACGCGUAUGCAACCUACCCUGUACAGGGGGAUAACCCGGAGAAAUUCGGACUAAUAUCCCGUAAUAAUAUCCGGAGGCAUCUUUGGAUAUUUAAAGUUCCGACGGUAUGGGAUGGGCAUGCGUAACAUUAACUGGUUGGUAAGGUAACGGCUUACCAAGGCUAUGAUGUUUAGGGGUCCUGAGAGGGUGGUCCCCCAACUGGUACUGAGACACGGACCAGACUCCUACGGGAGGCAGCAGUGAGGAAUAUUGGUCAAUGGGCGCAAGCCUGAACCAGCCAUCCCGCGUGCAGGAAGACGGCCCUAUGGGUUGUAAACUGCUUUUCCAGGGAGAGAAACUUACGCACGUGUUGCGUGACUGACGGUACCCUGGGAAUAAGCAUCGGCUAACUCCGUGCCAGCAGCCGCGGUAAUGUGU
rnacentral:rRNA from 1 species